GGAAAUUGACGGGGACCCGCACAAGCAGCGGAGCGUGUGGUUUAAUUCGAUGCUACACGAAGAACCUUACCAAGGUUUGACAUGUAAGUGGUAGUGAUCUGAAAAGUGAACGACCUUCGGGAGCUUACACAGGUGCUGCAUGGCUGUCGUCAGCUCGUGUCGUGAGAUGCUCGGUUAAGUCCGCUAACGAGCGCAACCCUCACUGUGUGUUACAAGUGUCACACGGGACUGCCGGUUUUAAGCCGGAGGAAGGCGAGGAUGACGUCAAGUCAGCAUGGCCUUUAUAUCUUGGGCUACACACACGCUACAAUGGUCUGUACAAUAGGUUGCCAAGCCGCGAGGCGGAGCCAAUCCUUAAAGCAGGCCUCAGUUCAGAUUGUAGGCUGCAACUCGCCUGCAUGAAGAUGGAGUUGCUAGUAACCGCAGGUCAGCUAUACUGCGGUGAAUACGUUCCCGGGUCUU
rnacentral:rRNA from 1 species